rnacentral:rRNA from 1 species
CCUACGGGAGGCAGCAGUGGGGAAUUUUGGACAAUGGGCGCAAGCCUGAUCCAGCCAUGCCGCGUGCAGGAAGAAGGCCUUCGGGUUGUAAACCGCUUUUGUCAGGGAAGAAAAGGUUCUGGCUAAUACCUGGGACUCAUGACGGUACCUGAAGAAUAAGCACCGGCUAACUACGUGCCAGCAGCCGCGGUAAUACGUAGGGUGCAAGCGUUAAUCGGAAUUACUGGGCGUAAAGCGUGCGCAGGCGGUUAUGCAAGACAGAGGUGAAAUCCCCGGGCUCAACCUGGGAACUGCCUUUGUGACUGCAUAGCUAGAGUACGGUAGAGGGGGAUGGAAUUCCGCGUGUAGCAGUGAAAUGCGUAGAUAUGCGGAGGAACACCGAUGGCGAAGGCAAUCCCCUGGACCUGUACUGACGCUCAUGCACGAAAGCGUGGGGAGCAAACAGGAUUAGAUACCCUGGUAGUCCACGCCCUAAACGAUGUCAACUGGUUGUUGGGAGGGUUUCUUCUCAGUAACGUAGCUAACGCGUGAAGUUGACCGCCUGGGGAGUCGGCCGCAAGGUUGAAACUCAAAUGAAUUGACGGCUGGAGAGNGCGAGACGACGACGAGGGAGGAGG